AUGUUCUUCACCGGGUACAGCGUACUGUCAAGGUCUGAAAUGUUUUUUAAGCAUAUCAUGUACAGGAUUUGUACACGAGCAAAACGGAUGACCCAGCCUUGCACACACACACACACACACACACACACACACACACACACAGAGAGAGAGAGAGAGAGAGAGAGAGAGAGAGAGAGAGAGAGAGACGUACUGAAGAGGGAGGACGAUGGUCCUCGCCGUGGUCGCUGCUGCUCCGUCCGGCCGCACAACGGAGGAAUCUCGGGGCGAGGAUCCAGCGCCACGCCGGUGACCCAACAGGGCUAG
rnacentral:rRNA from 1 species